AUGUGGAUCGUCUUCGCGCAGUCCAUGGUGAUCACGCUUUCCCACGAGCUCACUGUUAACAGCAACAAGACGAUCGACGGGCGCGGCGCGCAGGUGCACAUCACGGGGGCACAGAUCACGCUGCAGGGCGUGAGGCACGUGAUCAUCCACAACGUCCACAUCCACCACUCCGUGCCGCACGCGGGCGGCAUGAUCCGGGACUCCAAGCACCACUACGGGCGGCGCACCCAGAGCGACGGCGACGGCAUCUCCAUCCUCUCCUCCAGCAACGUGUGGAUCGACCACGUGUCCAUGUCCAGCUGCUCCGACGGCCUCAUCGACGUGGUCAGCGGCUCCACCGCCAUCACCGUGUCCAACAGCCACUUCACCAAGCAUGACCACGUGAUGCUGUUCGGCGCCAGCAACACGGAGGAGCAGGACAGGAUGAUGCAGGUCACCGUCGCGUUCAACCACUUCGGGAAGGGGCUGGUGCAGCGGAUGCCCGCUGCCGCUUCGGCUUCUUCCACGUGGUGA
rnacentral:rRNA from 1 species